CCUACGGGUGGCUGUAGUCGAGAAUCAUUCACAAUGGGGGAAACCCUGAUGGUGCGACGCCGCGUGGGGGAAUGAAGGUCUUCGGAUUGUAAACCCCUGUCAUGUGGGAGCAAAUUAAAAAGAUAGUACCACAAGAGGAAGAGACGGCUAACUCUGUGCCAGCAACCGCGGUAAUACAGGGGUCUCAAGCGUGGUUCGGAAUCACUGGGGUUAAAGCGUGCGUAUGCUGUUUCGUAAGUCGUGUGUGAAAGGCGCGGGCCAAACCAGCGGACGGCACAUGAUACUGCGAGACUAGAGUAAGGGAGGGGGAAGCGGAAUGCGUGGUGUAGCAGUGAAAUGCGUAGAUAUCGAGAGGAACACUCGUGGCGAAGGCGGGUUCCUGGACAUUAACUGACGCUGAGGCACGAAGGCCAGGGGAGCGAAAGGGAUUAGAUACCCUAGUAGUC
rnacentral:rRNA from 1 species